UGAUUUGGUCGCCUGCAAGAGGUGGCCGAGGGGGUGUUCCAAGACAUCAAGACGACCUGGUGGAUCCUGCUGGCUGGCUUCGGCGUGGCGAUGGUGGUCUCCUUCAUCUGGAUUGUGCUUCUGCGCUUCAUCUCGGCCAUCAUGAUCUGGUUCUCGCUCGUUGCCUUCAUCGGCCUCUCUGGAUUUGGUGCAUACUACACACUCAACAAGUACCUGACGCUGCGGAACAUCGACAACUCCACCAUGACGAAGGCAGAAUUU
rnacentral:lncRNA from 1 species